rnacentral:rRNA from 1 species
GUAAGAAUAUUCCGCAAUGGACGAAAGUCUGACGGAGCGACGCCGCGUGGAUGAAGAAGGCCGGAAGGUUGUAAAAUCCUUUUGCUGAUGAAGAAUAAGUAUGGUAGGGAAUGACCGUAUGAUGACAUUAGUCGGUGAAUAAGCCCCGGCUAACUACGUGCCAGCAGCCGCGGUAACACGUAGGGGGCAAGCGUUGUUCGGAAUUAUUGGGCGUAAAGGGCAUGUAGGCGGUUUGGUAAGCCUGGUGUGAAAUCCUGCAGCUUAACUGUAGAAUUGCAUUGGGUACUGCCAGACUUGAAUCACAGAGGGGAAACUAGAAUUCCAGGUGUAGGGUGGAAUCUGUAGAUAUCUGGAAGAAUACCGGUGGCGAAGGCGGGUUUCUGGCUGAUGAUUGACGCUGAG